rnacentral:misc_RNA from 1 species
ACACAUUCUACUUUCGGUUUCUUAUUAUGAGUUUUGAAAAUGGAGGGAUACAGUUUCGAUUCUUUUUUAAUGGUUCGACUAAUACUUUGUUUGAUAGUAUGCCCUUAUGUUUGGGGUAACCUUUUUAAAGAAGUAUCAUCAUGUCCGUCAAGCAAGGAAGAGUGGAGACAUCGAUCUGAAAAGAAACAAUGUAAAGAGCCUAUACCUGAUUUCAUGUGUGCCGCCAUUGAAAACCAACAACGACGGUUUGGAGAAAUAUGUACAGUUGUUGGUCUUACAAGCAAAGGUAAAUGUGUGGUUUUGGAUGCAGACACGUACAAUUUAAAUUUCGUUAGAUGUUACGCAACUUCCGGCUGUCCACCAAAUGCAUACAUAUCUUUUGAUUUGUAUAAAUAUCCAGUGUGUUAUAACUACAGCAGAGAAACAACUUUUUCAACUUCGACAACUGAAGCUGAACAAGAUAAACAAAUAACGAGUAGAAAUCCUGAAAAUACCGACCGAGAUGGAUCUGUUCACGCAAUCGCUAUCUCUACGUUAACAGUAUUUCUUUGUGUUCUAUUUGUAUUUCUAUUACUGUUGAAGAAAAAAAGAUCUAAACCAAAAAAAGACUUGGAAAAUAAUGAAGCAGACGAGCCUACAUUCCUGUUAAACGCAGACAGUAAAUUAGAGGAGGCACUGUGUAAACAAAAAAUAUCAAUCUUAGGAGGAUAUAUGAAAUUUCAACUUGUAAAACUAAGUAAAGUUAAGAACCUUCGAUUUUAUAUGGUCACGCAUUCCGAAUCAUUAAAACUCCAUUUCAAGGAAAACUUCGAUAGAAUGAUGAAUUCAGGUACCGUAGAUUGGACAAAGUUUGAUUUGGAUACUGUAUACACACUUCUGUCAAACUUUUGUGGAAUAACACGUACGGAUCGGGGAUGGGGCUACAAACCAAAAGAUAAAGAUAUUUCUGUGGGGGCAGAUAUUGAAAGAAUAAGAGUCUUGGUGAAUGAGUAUUUAGAUAAUAAAACAUUCAAGAAGGAAGAGGCUGACCAGAUUCUCGAAAGAUGGAGAUGGGUGAAAAAGGAAGUCGAUUCACGUGAUAUUAUCGAUUUUGAUCGCGAGACAAAAAUUAAUUAUAAAAAGCUAAAACCGAAUAAUGUGGUGGAGCAUGGAACUGUUGUUACCCGUGUCAUUGCAAAUAUUCUAGAAAAACUUCAAUCAAAGAAAAUUGUAACAUGUUGCGGAACCAUUGGUUGCGGAAAAACAACUGCAUUGGAGUACAUUGCUAGAAAGUACAGGGAUGACGGAUGGACGAUAAAAUGGAAUAAGGAAUUCAUUGAUGAAUCUUUUUUUAACAAUGUUAUCGAGAGCAACACGGACAAAAUUUUUAUCUGUUGUGACAAUUUGUUUGGAUCGUUUGGGUGUCAAGUGUUUUCUGAUGAAAUGUUUGAUAACUUUCACUUUUUUAUGCACUCGAUCAAUAAAGGUGAAAAUAAUAUCAAAGUGUUGCUCGGUAUCCAUGAGCAUGUGAUUGAAGAAAUUUCCUCUAAACACUCUCUUGUUUCGCAAGAUUAUAAUGCUUUUGUAGAAAUGGAUAGCCUUUCACAGUCGGAAGCAUUACUUAUAUAUAUAACGCAGCAAGAAAAAUCUGAUAUAAAACAGGAAUAUAUUCCAUUUGAAGAUUUUCUGGAGUUAAAUAAAAAUAGAUCUGCUAACGUAGGAGCACCUUUCCAGACUUUGAUGAUUUCAGCGGCUCCUGAUGUCUUUGGCACAAGAGCAUUUUGCAAUCAACCGUUUCAGCUUCUGACAGAGCAUUUUUCCGAACUUUUACAUGACAAUGAGGAAAUGUUUUUUUCACUUUUUUAUGUUAUGUGUGUUGUGGUUUUCGAUAAGAGACAGGAUGAACUUGAAAGGGGCAUAGCUAAUGCAAUUUAUCCCCGUUUAGACAAAAACACUAUAGAUAAUUACCUACCAGAAUUCGGCCCAUACAUACAGGAUGAUGGUAACACCGUGGAAAUAAAACAUGACGUGAUCUCGAUUGCCUUGUUUCAUACAUUCAUGAAGCUAUCGACAAAACCUUGGUCUAUCUUUCUAGCAUGUGAUAUCCGACGAACUUUGGGACUCAUACGACCUUAUGACCAACGCAAUAAACUUCAUCCAUUUGCUGUCCCUUUGUCCAGAGAAACGCUUCAUGAAGCAAAAACAUUUAUAAAGACUAAAAAUUUUCAUAACAAUGUAGAUAUCAGAGGGCAUCCUUUAUUGGAGCAUUUUUCUUAACACAAACAGCUCAUCUUUCAACGAAUCAAAUAAUUGGUAUUGACUUUAAAAUCCAAACAUUCAAUUGUUUUUUAACAAAGUCAAAUAUCAGAUAUGCUUAUUUCCUUUUUUAAAACUCAGUAUGUCAAAAAUAUAUCAAUUUAAAUGUUAUAAUGCUAUUUUGAAUACGUAAUGCUUGACAUUAAAGUGUUCAUUGAAUU